GAGCUCGAUCGUCCGGAUGCUC
rnacentral:miRNA from 1 species